rnacentral:lncRNA from 1 species
GAGCUCAAUUGCGUCAAGCACCGCUUGUACGACGGUUUCUGGGGCAGGAAUGGGAUAACUUCCGGUGCCCAGUACAAGAGCCGGCAUCGUUUUCCGAUUGCCGGAGUGCAAAGUAAUUUCUGGAAUAGUAACGGGAGCCAUUUGAGUUGGUAUGGUAUUAGUAUAACAAUAGUUGUUUUUUUUGUUCUAAUUUGAAUUAGUGAUGGUUGGUAAUUUAAUGGCUUUAUAAAGAAGAUUCAAAGCCGUAGACGUAGAGUUUUGGUUGUCAAAAUUUGUAUUCCUUCAACAUCACAAGUGACGCAGACAUCCCGAAAAUCAAACCACAACUUUUCAUUUCAAACUCAGAAAAAUAAAUAAUAAACAAAUGGAUAUUUUUAUUCUUAAUAAAUGGCGUCACUCGUGAUGUUUAGUAGGAAUUAAAAAAAAUAAACAAGGACCGACCCUAUUUCUUCUUCCAAGUAUUAUCCAUUCUCAUAUACGUAUAUAAUUUACUUAUAUAAUAUACGUAUAUAUCUAUAUAUAUCUAACAAGCACACACACAUAUAUAAUACUAAUAACACUUAAUGUCAAAUUUAUUUUAAUUACACAUUAUAAAAAAUGUUGCAAGUUACACAUUCGUCAUAAUGAUGUAAGUUAUAAAUUAUUAAUAAUUUUAUAAUUUAAAUAAAAAAAUGGAAAAUUACAUUAAAAGAUUUAAAUAAGAUUACGUCACUUAUGCUAAUAAAACAACUAAUAAUCUUUUAUUUAAUUAAAAUGGAACCAAAACAAAUAACUUUACACGUUAUCAAAUGACUCACUUUAGAUAGGAUAACACAAAUCAAAUGAUUCAAACUACACUCAAAUGAAUUAUUCUCUAAUUCUCUAGGUAGAGGACAAUAAACCACAUAGUUUAUACUUAAAAUAAGGUGCAAUACCAUACUGGGAUGAUCGCAACCAAAUUAUAUAGAUGAUAAUACUAAUUUAUAAUAAUGAUGAUCUCAAUUAAACUUCCUCAUCCCAGAGCUCCUCAACUGAUCUGACAGGUGCAUCAGCUGAUGUGAAUUCUUCUCCGCUUUGAGCUCUGACUUGUGGGAUAUUAUUAGCAAUUUUUUCAGACUCCUCGGCGCUCAAUUCCC